rnacentral:rRNA from 1 species
UUAAGUUAAUAAGGGCGCACGGUGGAUGCCUUGGCACUAGAAGCCGAUGAAGGACGUGACUAACGACGAAAUGCUUUGGGGAGCUGUAAGUGAGCAAUGAUCCAGAGAUGUCCGAAUGGGGGAACCCGGCAGGUAAUGCCUGUCACUCAUUACUGUUAAGGUAAUGUAGAGGAAGACGCAGUGAACUGAAACAUCUAAGUAGCUGUAGGAAGAGAAAGCAAAAGCGAUUGCCUUAGUAGCGGCGAGCGAAACGGCAAGAGGGCAAACCGAAGAGUUUACUCUUCGGGGUUGUAGGACUGCAACGUGGACUUAAAGAUUAUAGAAGAACUACCUGGGAAGGUAGGCCAAAGAGAGUAAUAGCCUCGUAUUCGAAAUAGUCUUUAUACCUAGCAGUAUCCUGAGUACGGCGAGACACGAGAAAUCUCGUCGGAAUCUGGGAGGACCAUCUCCCAACCCUAAAUACUCUCUAGUGACCGAUAGUGAACCAGUACCGUGAGGGAAAGGUGAAAAGCACCCCGGGAGGGGAGUGAAAUAGAACCUGAAACCGUGUGCCUACAACAAGUUCGAGCCCGUUAAUGGGUGAGAGCGUGCCUUUUGUAGAAUGAACCGGCGAGUUACGAUAUGAUGCGAGGUUAAGUUGAAGAGACGGAGCCGUAGGGAAACCGAGUCUUAAUAGGGCGCAUUAGUAUCAUGUCGUAGACCCGAAACCAUGUGACCUACCCAUGAGCAGGUUGAAGGUGAGGUAAAACUCACUGGAGGACCGAACCAGGGCACGUUGAAAAGUGCUUGGAUGACUUGUGGGUAGCGGAGAAAUUCCAAACGAACUUGGAGAUAGCUGGUUCUCUCCGAAAUAGCUUUAGGGCUAGCGUCGAUGUUAAGUCUCUUGGAGGUAGAGCACUGUUUGGGUGAGGGGUCCAUCCCGGAUUACCAAUCUCAGAUAAACUCCGAAUGCCAAUGAGAUAUAAUCGGCAGUCAGACUGCGAGUGCUAAGAUCCGUAGUCGAAAGGGAAACAGCCCAGACCACCAGCUAAGGUCCCAAAAUAUAUGUUAAGUGGAAAAGGAUGUGGGGUUGCACAGACAACUAGGAUGUUAGCUUAGAAGCAGCUAUUCAUUCAAAGAGUGCGUAAUAGCUCACUAGUCGAGUGACCCUGCGCCGAAAAUGUACCGGGGCUAAAACAUAUUACCGAAGCUGUGGAUACCUUUAUAGGUAUGGUAGGAGAGCGUUCUAUGUGCGAAGAAGGUGUACCGUGAGGAGUGCUGGAGCGCAUAGAAGUGAGAAUGCCGGUAUGAGUAGCGAAAGACAGGUGAGAAUCCUGUCCACCGUAAGACUAAGGUUUCCAGGGGAAGGCUCGUCCGCCCUGGGUUAGUCGGGACCUAAGGAGAGACCGAAAGGUGUAUCCGAUGGACAACAGGUUGAUAUUCCUGUACUAGAGUAUAUAGUGAUGGAGGGACGCAGUAGGCUAACUAAACCAGACGAUUGGAAGUGUCUGGCCAAGCAGUGAGGUGUGAUAUGAGUCAAAUGCUUAUAUCUUUAACAUUGAGCUGUGAUGGGGAGCGAAGUUUAGUAGCGAAGUUAGUGAUGUCACACUGCCGAGAAAAGCUUCUAGCGUUAAUUAUACUCUACCCGUACCGCAAACCGACACAGGUAGUCGAGGCGAGUAGCCUCAGGUGAGCGAGAGAACUCUCGUUAAGGAACUCGGCAAAAUGGCCCCGUAACUUCGGGAGAAGGGGCGCUGACUGAUGGUCAGCCGCAGUGAAUAGGCCCAAGCAACUGUUUAUCAAAAACACAGCUCUCUGCUAAAUCGUAAGAUGAUGUAUAGGGGGUGACGCCUGCCCGGUGCUGGAAGGUUAAGAGGAGUGCUUAGCGUAAGCGAAGGCAUGAAUUGAAGCCCCAGUAAACGGCGGCCGUAACUAUAACGGUCCUAAGGUAGCGAAAUUCCUUGUCGGGUAAGUUCCGACCCGCACGAAAGGCGUAAUGAUUUGGGCACUGUCUCAACGAGAGACUCGGUGAAAUUUUAGUACCUGUGAAGAUGCAGGUUACCCGCGACAGGACGGAAAGACCCCAUGGAGCUUUACUGCAGUUUGAUAUUGAGUAUCUGUACCACAUGUACAGGAUAGGUAGGAGCCUAUGACCUCGGGACGCCAGUUUCGAGUGAGGCGUUGUUGGGAUACUACCCUUGUGUUAUGGCUACUCUAACCCAGAUAGGUUAUCCCUAUCGGAGACAGUGUCUGACGGGCAGUUUGACUGGGGCGGUCGCCUCCUAAAAGGUAACGGAGGCGCCCAAAGGUUCCCUCAGAAUGGUUGGAAAUCAUUCGCAGAGUGUAAAGGUAUAAGGGAGCUUGACUGCGAGAGCUACAACUCGAGCAGGGACGAAAGUCGGGCUUAGUGAUCCGGUGGUUCCGUAUGGAAGGGCCAUCGCUCAACGGAUAAAAGCUACCCUGGGGAUAACAGGCUUAUCUCCCCCAAGAGUUCACAUCGACGGGGAGGUUUGGCACCUCGAUGUCGGCUCAUCGCAUCCUGGGGCUGUAUUCGGUCCCAAGGGUUUGGCUGUUCGCCAAUUAAAGCGGCACGCGAGCUGGGUUCAGAACGUCGUGAGACAGUUCGGUCCCUAUCCGUCGCGGGCGUAGGAAAUUUGAGAGGAUCUGCUCCUAGUACGAGAGGACCAGAGUGGACUUACCGCUGGUGUACCAGUUGUUCUGCCAAGAGCAUCGCUGGGUAGCUAUGUAGGGAAGGGAUAAACGCUGAAAGCAUCUAAGUGUGAAGCCCACCUCAAGAUGAGAUUUCCCAUGAUUUUAUAUCAGUAAGAGCCCUGAGAGAUGAUCAGGUUGAUAGGUUAGAAGUGGAAGUGUGGUGACACAUGUAGCGGACUAAUACUAAUAGCUCGAGGACUUAUCCAA